UACGAAGGGGGCUAGCGUUGCUCGGAAUCACUGGGCGUAAAGGGUGCGUAGGCGGGUCUUUAAGUCAGGGGUGAAAUCCUGGAGCUCAACUCCAGAACUGCCUUGAUACUGAAGAUCUUGAGUUCGGGAGAGGUGAGUGGAACUGCGAGUGUAGAGGUGAAAUUCGUAGAUAUUCGCAAGAACACCAGUGGCGAAGGCGGCUCACUGGCCCGAUACUGACGCUGAGGCACGAAAGCGUGGGGAGCAAACAGGGAUUAGAACCGA
rnacentral:rRNA from 1 species